rnacentral:rRNA from 1 species
GACAGAGGGGGCAAGCGUUGCUCGGAAUCACUGGGCGUAAAGGGCGCGUAGGCGGGAUGGCAAGUCGGUCGUGAAAUCUCUCGGCUCAACCGAGAAACGUCGGCCGAUACUGCCGUUCUUGAGGGAUGCAGAGGAGACUGGAAUUCCCGGUGUAGCGGUGAAAUGCGUAGAUAUCGAGAGGAACACCUGCGGCGAAGGCGGGUU